UACGGAGGGAGCUAGCGUUGUCCGGAAUUAUUGGGCGUAAAGAGCUCGUAGGCGGUUUGUCGCGUCUGCUGUGAAAGCCCGGGGCUCAACCCCGGGUCUGCAGUGGGUACGGGCAGACUAGAGUGCAGUAGGGGAGACUGGAAUUCCUGGUGUAGCGGUGAAAUGCGCAGAUAUCGGGAGGAACACCAGUGGCGAAGGCGAUCUCUGGACGGAUACUGACGCUGAGACGCGAAAGCGUGGGGAGCAAACAGG
rnacentral:rRNA from 1 species